AUCGCUUCUCGGCCUUUUGGCUAAGAUCAAGUGUAGUUUCUGUUCUUAUCAGUUUAAUAUCUGAUAGUCCUCCAAACGAGGACCAUGCAUUAAAUUGAUUUUUGGAACAAGGAGCUGGAACAGGGGCUUGCCCCGUCCUCUCCACGCAUUGACCUGGUAUUGCAGUACCUCCAGGAACAGUGCACCUCCA
ensembl:snRNA U2 U2 spliceosomal RNA